rnacentral:rRNA from 1 species
UACGGAGGGUGCAAGCGUUGCUCGGAAUUACUGGGCGUAAAGCGCGUGUAGGCGGUUUCGUGUGUCUGAUGUGAAAGCCCCGGGCUCAACCUGGGAACCGCGCUUGAGACUGGCAUGCUCGAGUUCGGGAGAGGAUGGUGGAAUUCCCAGUGUAGAGGUGAAAUUCGUAGAUAUUGGGAAGAACACCGAUGGCGAAGGCAGCCAUCUGGACCGACACUGACGCUGAGGCGCGAAAGCGUGGGGAGCAAACAGG